rnacentral:rRNA from 1 species
AAUAGCGGAGGAAAAGAAACCAACAGGGAUUGCCUCAGUAACGGCGAGUGAAGCGGCAAAAGCUCAAAUUUGAAAUCUAGCACCUUCGGUGUUUGAGUUGUAAUUUGAAGAUGGUAACCUUGGGUUUGGCUCUUGUCUAUGUUCCUUGGAACAGGACGUCAUAGAGGGUGAGAAUCCCGUCUGAUGAGAUGCCCAUUCCUAUGUAAGGUGCUAUCGAAGAGUCGAGUUGUUUGGGAAUGCAGCUCUAAGUGGGUGGUAAAUUCCAUCUAAAGCUAAAUAUUGGCGAGAGACCGAUAGCGAACAAGUACAGUGAUGGAAAGAUGAAAAGAACUUUGAAAAGAGAGUGAAAAAGUACGUGAAAUUGUUGAAAGGGAAGGGCAUUAGAUCAGACUUGGUGUUUUACGAUUAUCUUCUCUUCUUGAGUUGUGCACUCGUAUUUCACUGGGCCAGCAUCGAUUCGGAUGGCAAGAUAAUGGCAGUUGAAUGUGGCUUCACUUCGGUGGAGUGUUAUAGCUUCUGCUGAUAUUGCCUGUCUGGAUCGAGGGCUGCGUCUUUUGACUAGGAUGCUGGCGUAAUGAUCUAAUGCCGCCCGUCUUGA